AGUAAUACUUGGGUAAUCUACCCUCGAGAGGGAAACAACCUGCCGAAAGGCGGGCUAAUGUCCCAUAAGACCACAGGAGCGCAUGCUCCAGGGGUCAAAGCUCCGCAAGGGGCGCUUGAGGAGGAACCCGAGUCCUAUCAUGGUAGUUGGUGAGGUAACGGCUCACCAAGCCUUUGACGGGUAGCCGGCCUGAAAGGGUGAUCGGCCACACUGGCACUGAGACACGGGCCAG
rnacentral:rRNA from 1 species